UUAAGUUAUUAAGGGCGCACGGUGGAUGCCUUGGCACUAGAAGCCGAUGAAGGACGUUACUAACGACGAUAUGCUUUGGGGAGCUGUAAGUAAGCUUUGAUCCAGAGAUUUCCGAAUGGGGAAACCCAGCAUGAGUUAUGUCAUGUUAUCGAUAUGUGAAUACAUAGCAUAUCAGAAGGCACACCCGGAGAACUGAAACAUCUUAGUACCCGGAGGAAGAGAAAGAAAAUUCGAUUCCCUUAGUAGCGGCGAGCGAAACGGGAAGAGCCCAAACCAACAAGCUUGCUUGUUGGGGUUGUAGGACACUCUAUACGGAGUUACAAAGGACGACAUUAGACGAAUCAUCUGGAAAGAUGAAUCAAAGAAGGUAAUAAUCCUGUAGUCGAAAAUGUUGUCUCUCUUGAGUGGAUCCUGAGUACGACGGAGCACGUGAAAUUCCGUCGGAAUCUGGGAGGACCAUCUCCUAAGGCUAAAUACUCUCUAGUGACCGAUAGUGAACCAGUACCGUGAGGGAAAGGUGAAAAGCACCCCGGAAGGGGAGUGAAAUAGAACCUGAAACCGUGUGCUUACAAGUAGUCAGAGCCCGUUAAUGGGUGAUGGCGUGCCUUUUGUAGAAUGAACCGGCGAGUUACGAUUUGAUGCAAGGUUAAGCAGUAAAUGUGGAGCCGUAGCGAAAGCGAGUCUGAAUAGGGCGUUUAGUAUUUGGUCGUAGACCCGAAACCAGGUGAUCUACCCUUGGUCAGGUUGAAGUUCAGGUAACACUGAAUGGAGGACCGAACCGACUUACGUUGAAAAGUGAGCGGAUGAACUGAGGGUAGCGGAGAAAUUCCAAUCGAACCUGGAGAUAGCUGGUUCUCUCCGAAAUAGCUUUAGGGCUAGCCUCAAGUGAUGAUUAUUGGAGGUAGAGCACUGUUUGGACGAGGGGCCCCUCUCGGGUUACCGAAUUCAGACAAACUCCGAAUGCCAAUUAAUUUAACUUGGGAGUCAGAACAUGGGUGAUAAGGUCCGUGUUCGAAAGGGAAACAGCCCAGACCACCAGCUAAGGUCCCAAAAUAUAUGUUAAGUGGAAAAGGAUGUGGCGUUGCCCAGACAACUAGGAUGUUGGCUUAGAAGCAGCCAUCAUUUAAAGAGUGCGUAAUAGCUCACUAGUCGAGUGACACUGCGCCGAAAAUGUACCGGGGCUAAACAUAUUACCGAAGCUGUGGAUUGUCCUUUGGACAAUGGUAGGAGAGCGUUCUAAGGGCGUUGAAGCAUGAUCGUAAGGACAUGUGGAGCGCUUAGAAGUGAGAAUGCCGGUGUGAGUAGCGAAAGACGGGUGAGAAUCCCGUCCACCGAUUGACUAAGGUUUCCAGAGGAAGGCUCGUCCGCUCUGGGUUAGUCGGGUCCUAAGCUGAGGCCGACAGGCGUAGGCGAUGGAUAACAGGUUGAUAUUCCUGUACCACCUAUAAUCGUUUUAAUCGAUGGGGGGACGCAGUAGGAUAGGCGAAGCGUGCGAUUGGAUUGCACGUCUAAGCAGUAAGGCUGAGUAUUAGGCAAAUCCGGUACUCGUUAAGGCUGAGCUGUGAUGGGGAGAAGACAUUGAGUCUUCGAGUCGUUGAUUUCACACUGCCGAGAAAAGCCUCUAGAUAGAAAAUAGGUGCCCGUACCGCAAACCGACACAGGUAGUCAAGAUGAGAAUUCUAAGGUGAGCGAGCGAACUCUCGUUAAGGAACUCGGCAAAAUGACCCCGUAACUUCGGGAGAAGGGGUGCUCUUUAGGGUUAACGCCCAGAAGAGCCGCAGUGAAUAGGCCCAAGCGACUGUUUAUCAAAAACACAGGUCUCUGCUAAACCGUAAGGUGAUGUAUAGGGGCUGACGCCUGCCCGGUGCUGGAAGGUUAAGAGGAGUGGUUAGCUUCUGCGAAGCUACGAAUCGAAGCCCCAGUAAACGGCGGCCGUAACUAUAACGGUCCUAAGGUAGCGAAAUUCCUUGUCGGGUAAGUUCCGACCCGCACGAAAGGCGUAACGAUUUGGGCACUGUCUCAACGAGAGACUCGGUGAAAUCAUAGUACCUGUGAAGAUGCAGGUUACCCGCGACAGGACGGAAAGACCCCGUGGAGCUUUACUGUAGCCUGAUAUUGAAAUUCGGCACAGCUUGUACAGGAUAGGUAGGAGCCUUUGAAACGUGAGCGCUAGCUUACGUGGAGGCGCUGGUGGGAUACUACCCUAGCUGUGUUGGCUUUCUAACCCGCACCACUUAUCGUGGUGGGAGACAGUGUCAGGCGGGCAGUUUGACUGGGGCGGUCGCCUCCUAAAAGG
rnacentral:rRNA from 1 species